AUGGGAGAAGGUACUCAUGUGGAGAACAGGUGAGGAGAAAGAAUUUUGAAGAAUCAGGAGCAAGAACUGGAGAGAGGAAUUAAACGGUUAACAUGGCUGGGCUAAGGCCCUCCUACAAAUGUAGAUUUAGUGAAGAAUUUAACAAACAGACAAAGGGAUCAAAGGGGAAGACUGCAGCACAGGAAAUCUUCAGAGGAAUAGAGAUUUUCCAGGGAGACAGGUUUUUGGUGAGAUCUUAACCAGAGUUUCUAAUGAAGAAGAAACAAUGAGAGUGAGACAGUAAAAUGCUGACCCUCUGUGGAUGGGACAGGAGUUCAAGCAGAGAUGAAACCAUAUUCUUAUGAUAACGUUUGGAAAUACCAUUCAGCUACUAUGAAGUCUUGGCUAAAACCAUCCCUAGUUCUAUACAAGGAUGAACAAAACAGUUCUUACCAUCAAGGAAUUUAUAAUCUAGUUAUUUGGAGAUUUAAAAAGAGAUCGAAUUUGCUACAUGAAUACAACCAAAUUUGCAGGCAAAGGUCAAAUUUCAUUCUAAUAAAAAUCACUGUUUGAUUAAAAA